UAGGCCUAUAAGUGACAUCACGCUCUGUCUGCCACUUGUUGUCUGUAGCUGAUCAAAAUGGCAUAGCCUAAGCCUAAAGCUUUAAUAUAUGACUAUAUAUUUAGCCU